rnacentral:tRNA from 8 species
GUCUGUAGCUCAGGUGGUUAGAGCGCACCCCUGAUAAGGGUGAGGUCGGUGGUUCAAGUCCACCCAGACC